GGUGCCUGGAGCGGCCCGGCCCGGGGUGCUAGGACCGAGGUGGGCGCGGGGCUGGCUCGGGACGCUGGGCCGGGGGUGCGCGGGCGAGCUGCGGAGCGAGCCCCUCUGGCCGGCUGGGGACCCGAGCCGCUACCGGCCCCUGGUUCCCGCUGGCCCGGCUGUGAGCGCGGGCCGGGAUCGGACGGGUCUGGGUUUGGAAAGCGACGAGGCUUUUCCGCAGUGAAACCCGCUGCUGGGGCUGUGGGUCAGCCUGAGAGUCGCAAAUGUACUCAUCUGAGAAAAGGUUUUCUGUCUGCUAUUUUUCUGAAGUUAUGCAGAUAUGACCCCCCUACUCCUUAAUUAUAAAACACAUUUUGAGGUUAUCUGAUCUGCCGGAGAUGCACGUGGGGAAGAAACAUGGAAUGGAAUCGGUAUGUCACUGAGUCCCUGGGCGAUGCUCUGGAACUGCUCCCCACAAAGCCAGUCAGGACUUUGCAUAUCCUCCUCUCCCUUGGAGAAGACUUUUUCAGGGCAAGCAGCUCACACGUCUUCACCUUCUGGGUCUCUCCUUGGUGCAUUCAGCAUCCUCUGCUCCUCCAUGCGCUUCCCACAGUGAGUCCGCUCUAGCAGGGUCCUGAAGAAGCCACAGGGUCCUGCACCCCCACUUUGCAGUCAGAUGUGACUCUCAGCCAGCCAGUAACACAGAGGUUUAUUUGAUGACAGGAAUACGGUCUAAAACAGAGCUUGUAGGUGCUGCGAACUGGACCCCUCCGCCGGGUCCAUUCUGGGGGGCAGUGAGCCAGACCCCCACGUCUGCACUUCACUCCUUGUCCAUAGCCAACUCCAGACUCCAAAACCCCUCCAGCCCCUCCUCUCUGCUCAGUUCCUUUCCUGGGCCAGGAGGUCACCUGAUCCCUUUGUCUCCAACACCUUCAGUUGGCACCUUUGCAGAGGAGGGGCCCAGGCCAUCAGUUGCUAGGAGACAGAGUGCCAGGCAUUUAGGUGCACUGGCCCUUUGCUCUGUAGCAAUCACACACCCUUAUCCCCCCUCCUGGAUACUUAAGAACUGCAUGGGACACUGAGGCACCAACACAGUAUUCAGAGAAAAUAUUAAGAACAUUCCCAGUUUGCCACAAGGUAUAAAUAAGAAGUCUGGCGCCAUUAGUUUUUAACUGUAAGUUUGUCAUGUACAUCAUGUAUACUGUCCUGUGUUGUAGGUUUGUGUGUGUGUGUGUAAAACAUCACUUUUUUAAAAAUUAUCUUUAUUUUGUUGCAACAAAAGUCAAUUCUCUACCUUUUUAAAAAAAAAGGUGGUACCACACUAUUUUACUAUUGUGUUUGGGGUAUAAGUACCAUAAUAUUAUUAUCACCAUUUUUUUAAAGUUCAAAAAGGUCUCAGUUAUAAAUAGAUGAAUUAUUUGGUGAGGCAGAAAUAUAUGUACAAUUAAAACCCAAAGAAUUCUCUUUUAUUAAUCAGUUUUUUUAUUUUUAUUUUUUUAUUCAAAGAAAAAAAUGUAAGGGGAAAGCUCAACAUUAAGGUAAAGGUAAUAUUAACAAAAUGUCAAAUUCUUGUUUGGGUUUUUAUGAUCUUGUUUGCAAUUUUAAAUAUCCCUAUAAAAAUGUCAUAGCAAAAAUGUUUAAAAAUAACAGUUUCAUUCAUAAAGCUAACCAAAGGGUUUCAACAGGUUUCCACCUUUGGCUCCCAAACACAACAAAGUGUCAUAAAAAUUUAAUACCCUUAAAGUGUUUGCAUGAACUUGCAUUUAAAAUGUAUUUUGGUUUAAUUGUUA